rnacentral:rRNA from 1 species
AUCCGCACAAGCAGCGGAGCGUGUGGUUUAAUUCGUUGCUACACGAAGAACUUACCUGGGUUUGACAUAUAGGUUGUAGGGAACUGAAAGGGACCGACCCUUCGGGAGCCUAUACAGGUGUUGCAUGGCUGUCGUCAGCUCGUGUCGUGAGAUGUUCGGUUAAGUCCGCUAACGAGCGCAACCCUCGUCGUAUGUUAUAUGUGUCAUACGAGACUGCCGGUAAAAGCCGGAGGAAGGUGAGGAUGAUGUCAAGUCAGCAUGACCUUUAUAUCCAGGGCUACACACACGCUACAAUGGUCUGUACAAUGGGUAGCCAAGCCGCGAGGCGGAGCCAAUCCUGAAAGCAGGCCUCAGUUCAGAUUGCAGUCUGCAACUCGACUGCAUGAAGCCGGAGUUGCUAGUAACCGCAGGUCAGCAAUACUGCGGUGAAUACGUUCCCGGGUCUU